rnacentral:tRNA from 1 species
GCCGUCUUAGCUCAACGGUAGAGCAGACGCUUUGUAAGCGCCAGGUUGUGAGUUCGAUUCUCACAGACGGCUCCA